rnacentral:tRNA from 1 species
GGUUCACCUGGCCAAGUGAUUUAAGGCUUGGAAUUGCGGAUCCUCCCCAC